rnacentral:rRNA from 1 species
UACGUAGGGUGCAAGCGUUAAUCGGAAUUACUGGGCGUAAAGCGUGCGCAGGCGGUUUUGUAAGACAGGCGUGAAAUCCCCGGGCUCAACCUGGGAAUUGCGCUUGUGACUGCAAGGCUGGAGUGCGGCAGAGGGGGAUGGAAUUCCGCGUGUAGCAGUGAAAUGCGUAGAUAGGCGGAGGAACACCGAUGGCGAAGGCAAUCCCCUGGGCCUGCACUGACGCUCAUGCACGAAAGCGUGGGGAGCAAACAUG